rnacentral:tRNA from 1 species
GCGCCAGUGGUUCACCGGUAGAAUGCCUGCUUCCCACUUUUGUGUUUGAAGAUAGCAGGCGAACCGGGUUCGACUCCCGGCUGGCGCA